AUUGAACGCUGGCGGCAGGCCUAACACAUGCAAGUCGAACGAGUGGCGGACGGGUGAGUAAUGCCUGGGAAUCUACCUUAUGGAGGGGGAUAACUACUGGAAACUGUAGCUAAUACCGCAUACCAUAGGAUGAGCCCAAGUGGGAUUAGGUAGUUGGUGGGGUAAAGGCUCACCAAGCCGACGAUCCCUAGCUGGUCUGAGAGGAUGACCAGCCACACUGGGACUGGGACACGGCCCAGACUCCUACGGGAGGCAGCAGUGGGGAAUAUUGCGCAAUGGGGGCAACCUGACGCAGCCAUGCCGCGUGAAUGAAGAAGGCCUUCGGGUUGUAAAGUUCUUUCGGUAGGGAGGCGUUAACUACAGAAGAAGCACCGGCUAACUCCGUGCCAGCAGCCGCGGUAAUAC
rnacentral:rRNA from 1 species